UCCGGUUCUGUACCGGCAGUCUCCUUAGAUAUGCAACUAAGGACAAGGGUUGCGCUCGUUGCGGGACUUAACCCAACAUCUCACGACACGAGCUGACGACAGCCAUGCAACAUCUGUUCUCCCGUCCUUGCGGAGGCACCCCUUUCGAGGUGUUGCGAGAGAAUGUCAAGCCCAGGUAAGGUUCUUCGCGUUGCAUCGAAUUAAACCACACGCUCCGCUGCUUGUGCGGGUCCCCGUCAAUUCCUUUGAGUUUUAGCCUUGCGGCCGUACUCCCCAGGCGGGAUGCUUAAAGCGUUAGCUGCGGCACGGAGGGGGUCGACACCCCCCACACCUAGCAUCCACCGUUUAGGGCGUGGACUAC
rnacentral:misc_RNA from 1 species